rnacentral:rRNA from 1 species
UACGUAGGUGACAAGCGUUGUCCGGAUUUACUGGGCGUAAGGAGCGCGCAGGCGGUCGUUCAAGUCGAGUGUGAAAGCCCCCGGCUCAACUGGGGAGGGUCACUCGAUACUGAUCGACUCGAAGGCAGGAGAGGGAAGUGGAAUUCCCGGUGUAGUGGUGAAAUGCGUAGAUAUCGGGAGGAACACCAGUGGCGAAGGCGGCCCGCUGGGCAGUGGCUGACGCUGAGGCGCGACAGCGUGGGGAGCAAACAGG